rnacentral:rRNA from 1 species
CCUACGGGAGGCAGCAGUGGGGAAUCUUGGACAAUGGGGGAAACCCUGAUCCAGCGACGCCGCGUGAGUGAAGAAGUAUUUCGUUACGUAACGCUCUAUCAGCAUGAAAGCAAAUGACGGUACCUGACUAAGAAGCCCCGGCUACCUACGUGCCAGCAGCCGCGGUAAUACGUAGGGGGCAAGCUUUAUCCGGAUUUACUGGGUGUAAGGGGAGCGUAGACGGCAGCGCAAGUCUGGAGUGAAAUGCCGGGGCCCAACCCCGGAACUGCUCUGGAAACUGUGACGCUGGAGUGCAGGAGAGGUAAGCGGAAUUCCUGGUGUAGCGGUGAAAUGCGUAGAUAUCAGGAGGAACACCGGCGGCGAAGGCGGCUUACUGGACUGUAACUGACGUUGAGGCUCGAAGGCGUGGGGAGCAAACAGGAUUAGAUACCCUUGUAGUC